rnacentral:pre_miRNA from 1 species
GUGAGUAGGGAAAAGAAAGCCAUGAGUAUCUCAGAGCAGUGGGCAUGGGAACAUGGAGGAAAGCCAAUACUUCUUGGCCUCUAAAUUUAGGGGCCGAAAUUAUUUUGCAUUUUCCUGAUGCCUCCCAUGCCUAUUGUUCUUAGGUAUUCCUUCCCUUUCCUAUUUUCU